CGCUGUCACUCUGACAGUUACGGAGAGUGGCCGUUGUUGCAUUUGGCCACUGAGGCUGGGCAACAGCUGGGCAACAGCUGCACACCUGUUCUCAGAGGGCCAGAAUUUCCAGUUUGCUUGAAACGGCAUCAUCUAGACGUACUUUUCACCAGCUUUUUUCCCCUCAAGCCAGUAGACCCCAGACUCCAAAUGCAGAUCUUCAGGAGAAAUACUAAAGGAAUUCCUCCAAGGGCCGGGGAUUUAGCUCAGUGGUGCUGCACCUGCCUCGGAAGUGUAAGGUCCUGAGUUUGAUCCCUGGUACCAGAAAAAGAAAUUCCUCAGAGGAGUGGAUGAAGCUUGGCUAAAAGAAGUUAGGAUCAUUAAAGGCACUCAUUCAAAUUCGAACAAAAAAGCCCACAUACCCACACGCUUUCAUACAUACAUGCAUGCUAUGCACAUUGCCUGGCUGACAUUGCAAACUGCACUCUCACCUAGAUUCAAGCCUCUACAGACACUUAGAAGAUGCUCCCUUUGAGUUUCAUCUUCCUUCUCCAGCA
rnacentral:lncRNA from 1 species